rnacentral:rRNA from 1 species
GACGAACGCUGGCGGCGUGCCUAAUACAUGCAAGUCGAACGCAGUGGGGACGGGUGCGUAACACGUGGGUAACCUCCCAUCAGAGGGGAUAACACUUGGAAACAGGUGCUAAACCGAUAUUGAUGGCUGGACCCGCGGUGCAUUAGCUAGUUGGUGAGGUAACGGCUCACCAAGGCCACGAUGCAUAGCCGACCUGAGAGGGUGAUCGGCCACACUGGAACUGAGACACGGCCCAGACUCCUACGGGAGGCAGCAGUAGGGAAUAUUGGGCAAUGGACGAAAGUCUGACCGAGCAACGCCGCGUGAGUGAAGAAGGUUUUCGGAUUGUAAAACUCUGUCGUUAGAGAAGCGGUAUCUAACCAGAAAGCAACGGCUAACUACGUGCCAGCAGCCGCGGUAAUUC